rnacentral:rRNA from 1 species
UGGGGAAUUUUGGACAAUGGGGGCAACCCUGAUCCAGCCAUGCCGCGUGAGUGAAGAAGGCCUUCGGGUUGUAAAGCUCUUUCGGCCGGGAAGAAAUCGCAUGGGUUAAUACCCUGUGUGGAUGACGGUACCGGAAUAAGAAGCACCGGCUAACUACGUGCCAGCAGCCGCGGUAAUACGUAGGGUGCGAGCGUUAAUCGGAAUUACUGGGCGUAAAGCGUGCGCAGGCGGUUUAGUAAGACAGGCGUGAAAUCCCCGGGCUCAACCUGGGAACUGCGCUUGUGACUGCUAAGCUAGAGUACGGCAGAGGGGGGUGGAAUUCAACGUGUAGCAGUGAAAUGCGUAGAGAUGUGGAGGAACACCGAUGGCGAAGGCAGCCCCCUGGGCCGAUACUGACGCUCAUGCACGAAAGCGUGGGUAGCAAACA